GCUGGGCAUGGUGGUGGAUGCUUGUAGUCCCAGCUACUUGGGAGGCUGAGGUGGGAGGAUCCCUUGAGCCCAGGAGUCUGAGGUUGCAGUGAGCUGUAAUCGCACCACUGCACUCCAGCCUGGGCAACAGAGCGAGACUCCAUCUCAA
rnacentral:SRP_RNA from 1 species